AGUCCCGUGGUGUAGUGGCCAAUCAUGAGGGCCUUUGGACGCGCACGCCCUCCGCGCGGGAGACAGCCCUCGACGGCGGUUCGAAUCCGCCCGGGACUA
rnacentral:tRNA from 1 species